GACGAACGCUGGCGGCGUGCCUAAUACAUGCAAGUUGAGCGCUGAAGGUUGGUACUUGUACCAACUGGAUGAGCAGCGAACGGGUGAGUAACGCGUGGGGAAUCUGCCUUUGAGCGGGGGACAACAUUUGGAAACGAAUGCUAAUACCGCAUAAAAACUUUAAACACAAGUUUUAAGUUUGAAAGAUGCAAUUGCGUCACUCAAAGAUGAUCCCGCGUUGUAUUAGCUAGUUGGUGAGGUAAAGGCUCACCAAGGCGAUGAUACAUAGCCGACCUGAGAGGGUGAUCGGCCACAUUGGGACUGAGACACGGCCCAAACUCCUACGGGAGGCAGCAGUAGGGAAUCUUCGGCAAUGGACGAAAGUCUGACCGAGCAACGCCGCGUGAGUGAAGAAGGGUUUCGGAUCGUAAAACUCUGUUGGUAGAGAAGAACGUUGGUGAGAGUGGAAAGCUCAUCAAGUGACGGUAACUACCCAGAAAGGGACGGCUAACUACGUG
rnacentral:rRNA from 1 species